rnacentral:rRNA from 1 species
GAAUUUUGGACAAUGGGCGAAAGCCUGAUCCAGCAACGCCGCGUGCAGGAUGAAGGCCUUCGGGUUGUAAACUGCUUUUGUACGGAACGAAAAGCGUUGGGUUAAUAACCUGGAUUCCUGACGGUACAGUAAGAAUAAGCACCGGCGAAAUACGUCCCAGCAGCCGCGGUAAUACGUAGGGUGCAAGCGUUAAUCGGAAUUACUGGGCGUAAAGCGUGCGCAGGCGGUUUUGUAAGACAGAGGUGAAAUCCCCGGGCUCAACCGGGGAACUGCCUUUGUGACUGCAAGGCUAGAGUACGGCAGAGGGGGGUGGAAUUCCGCGUGUAGCAGUGAAAGGCGUAGAUAUGCGGAGGAACACCGAUGGCGAAGGCAACCCCCUGGGCCUGUACUGACGCUCAUGCACGAAAGCGUGGGGAGCAAACA